rnacentral:rRNA from 1 species
GUGGGGAAUCUUGCGCAAUGGGCGAAAGCCUGACGCAGCCAUGCCGCGUGAAUGAUGAAGGUCUUAGGAUUGUAAAAUUCUUUCACCGGGGACGAUAAUGACGGUACCCGGAGAAGAAGCUCCGGCUAACUUCGUGCCAGCAGCCGCGGUAAUACGAAGGGGGCUAGCGUUGCUCGGAAUUACUGGGCGUAAAGGGCGCGUAGGCGGACAGCUUAGUCAGAGGUGAAAGCCCAGGGCUCAAACUUGGAAUUGCCUUUGAUACUGGCUGUCUUGAGUUUGUGAGAGGUAAGUGGAACUCCGAGUGUAGAGGUGAAAUUCGUAGAUAUUCGGAAGAACACCAGUGGCGAAGGCGACUCACUGGCCCAAUACUGACGCUGAGGCGCGAAAGCGUGGGGAGCAAACAGGAUUAGAAACCCUGGUAGUCC